GAUGAAGAACGUAGCGAAAUGCGAUACGUAAUGUGAAUUGCAAAUUCAGUGAAUCAUCGAGUAUUUGAACGCACAUUGCGCCCCCUGGUAUUCCGGGGGGCAUGCCUGUCCGAGCGUCAUUGCUGCCCUCAAGCACGGCUUGUGUGUUGGGCCCCGUCCUCCGAUCCCGGGGGACGGGCCCGAAAGGCAGCGGCGGCACCGCGUCCGGUCCUCGAGCGUAUGGGGCUUUGUCACCCGCUCUGUAGGCCCGGCCGGCGCUUGCCGAUCAACCCAAAUUUUUUAUCCAGGUUGACCUCGGAUCAGGUAGGGAUACCCGCUGAACUUAAGCAUAUCAAUAAGCGGAGGA
rnacentral:misc_RNA from 1 species